rnacentral:rRNA from 1 species
AGUGUCCUACGGGGCGCAGCAGUGGGGAAUAUUGCGCAAUGGGCGAAAGCCUGACGCAGUGACGCCGCGUGAGGGAUGAAGGUCUUCGGAUCGUAAACCUCUGUCAGCAGGGAAGAACGGUCACUGUGCUAGUCAGCAGUGAAUUGACGGUACCAGCAAAGGAAGCACCGGCUAACUCCGUGCCAGCAGCCGCGGUAAUACGGAGGGUGCGAGCGUUAAUCGGAAUUACUGGGCGUAAAGCGCUCGUAGGCGGUAUGUCAAGUCAAGGGUGAAAUCCCCGCGCUCAACGAGGGAACGGCCUUUGA